GAUGAAGAACGCAGCGAAAUGCGAUACUUGGUGUGAAUUGCAGAAUCCCGUGAACCAUCGAGUCUUUGAACGCAAGUUGCGCCCGAAGCCAUUAGGCCGAGGGCACGCCUGCCUGGGCGUCACACGUCGUUGCCCCCCCAUCUACUCCUUCGGGAUUGCGGGGGGCGGAUGAUGGCCUCCCGUGCGCCUCGUCGUGCGGUUGGCCUAAAUGCCAAGUCCUCGGCGACGCACGCCACGACAAUCGGUGGUUGCGAAACCUCGGUUGCCUGUCGUGUGCGGUCGUCGCGCAUCGAGGGCUCGAAAAAAUUGCCGGGCUUCGGCUCGACUUUCAACGCGACCCCAGGUCAGGCGGGGUUACCCGCUGAAUUUAAGCAUAUCAAUAAGCGGAGGA
rnacentral:misc_RNA from 1 species